CAGCCGCCGCGGUAAUACGGAGGGUGCAAGCGUUAAUCGGAAUUACUGGGCGUAAAGCGCACGCAGGCGGUCUGACAAGUCAGAUGUGAAAUCCCCGGGCUUAACCUGGGAACUGCAUUUGAAACUGUCAGGCUGGAGUCUUGUAGAGGGGGGUAGAAUUCCAGGUGUAGCGGUGAAAUGCGUAGAGAUCUGGAGGAAUACCGGUGGCGAAGGCGGCCCCCUGGACAAAGACUGACGCUCAGGUGCGAAAGCGUGGGGAGCAAACAGGAUUAGAUACCCCGGUAGUCCCUGUCUCUUAUCA
rnacentral:rRNA from 1 species